UCUAUAGGAAGAUAUUGGAGGAGCAGAUCUCCUGAUCUCAGGUGUUGUCUAUAGGAAGAUAUUGGAGGAGCGGAUCCCUCAGAUCUCAGGUGUUGUCUAUAGGAAGAUAUUGGAGGAGCGGAUCCCUCAGAUCUCAGGUGUUGUCUAUGGGAAGAUAUUGGAGGAGCGGAUCCCUCAGAUCUCAGGUGUUGUCUAUAGGAAGAUAUUGGAGGAGCGGAUCCCUCAGAUCUCAGGUGUUGUCUAUGGGAAGAUAUUGGAGGAGCGGAUCCCUCAGAUCUCAGGUGUUGUCUAUAGGAAGAUAUUGGAGGAGCGGAUCCCUCAGAUCUCAGGUGUUGUCUAUAGGAAGAUAUUGGAGGAGCAGAUCUCCUGAUCUCAGGUGUUGUCUAUAGGAAGAUAUUGGAGGAGCGGAUCCCUCAGAUCUCAGGUGUUGUCUUUGGGAAGAUAUUGGAGGAGCAGAUCUCCUGACCUCAGGUGUUGUCUAUAGGAAGAUAUUGGAGGAGCGGAUCCCUCAGAUCUCAGGUGUUGUCUAUAGGAAGAUAUUGGAGGAGCGGAUCCCUCAGAUCUCAGGUGUUGUCUAUAGGAAGAUAUUGGAGGAG